UUAAGCGACUAAGCGUACACGGUGGAUGCCCUGGCAGUCAGAGGCGAUGAAGGACGUGCUAAUCUGCGAUAAGCGUCGGUAAGGUGAUAUGAACCGUUAUAACCGGCGAUUUCCGAAUGGGGAAACCCAGUGUGAUUCGUCACACUAUCAUUAACUGAAUCCAUAGGUUAAUGAGGCGAACCGGGGGAACUGAAACAUCUAAGUACCCCGAGGAAAAGAAAUCAACCGAGAUUCCCCCAGUAGCGGCGAGCGAACGGGGAGCAGCCCAGAGCCUGAAUCAGUGUGUGUGUUAGUGGAAGCGUCUGGAAAGGCGCGCGAUACAGGGUGACAGCCCCGUACACAAAAAUGCACAUAUUGUGAGCUCGAUGAGUAGGGCGGGACACGUGGUAUCCUGUCUGAAUAUGGGGGGACCAUCCUCCAAGGCUAAAUACUCCUGACUGACCGAUAGUGAACCAGUACCGUGAGGGAAAGGCGAAAAGAACCCCGGCGAGGGGAGUGAAAAAGAACCUGAAACCGUGUACGUACAAGCAGUGGGAGCACGCUUAGGCGUGUGACUGCGUACCUUUUGUAUAAUGGGUCAGCGACUUAUAUUCUGUAGCAAGGUUAACCGAAUAGGGGAGCCGAAGGGAAACCGAGUCUUAACUGGGCGUUAAGUUGCAGGGUAUAGACCCGAAACCCGGUGAUCUAGCCAUGGGCAGGUUGAAGGUUGGGUAACACUAACUGGAGGACCGAACCGACUAAUGUUGAAAAAUUAGCGGAUGACUUGUGGCUGGGGGUGAAAGGCCAAUCAAACCGGGAGAUAGCUGGUUCUCCCCGAAAGCUAUUUAGGUAGCGCCUCGUGAAUUCAUCUCCGGGGGUAGAGCACUGUUUCGGCAAGGGGGUCAUCCCGACUUACCAACCCGAUGCAAACUGCGAAUACCGGAGAAUGUUAUCACGGGAGACACACGGCGGGUGCUAACGUCCGUCGUGAAGAGGGAAACAACCCAGACCGCCAGCUAAGGUCCCAAAGUCAUGGUUAAGUGGGAAACGAUGUGGGAAGGCCCAGACAGCCAGGAUGUUGGCUUAGAAGCAGCCAUCAUUUAAAGAAAGCGUAAUAGCUCACUGGUCGAGUCGGCCUGCGCGGAAGAUGUAACGGGGCUAAACCAUGCACCGAAGCUGCGGCAGCGACGCUUAUGCGUUGUUGGGUAGGGGAGCGUUCUGUAAGCCUGCGAAGGUGUGCUGUGAGGCAUGCUGGAGGUAUCAGAAGUGCGAAUGCUGACAUAAGUAACGAUAAAGCGGGUGAAAAGCCCGCUCGCCGGAAGACCAAGGGUUCCUGUCCAACGUUAAUCGGGGCAGGGUGAGUCGACCCCUAAGGCGAGGCCGAAAGGCGUAGUCGAUGGGAAACAGGUUAAUAUUCCUGUACUUGGUGUUACUGCGAAGGGGGGACGGAGAAGGCUAUGUUGGCCGGGCGACGGUUGUCCCGGUUUAAGCGUGUAGGCUGGUUUUCCAGGCAAAUCCGGAAAAUCAAGGCUGAGGCGUGAUGACGAGGCACUACGGUGCUGAAGCAACAAAUGCCCUGCUUCCAGGAAAAGCCUCUAAGCAUCAGGUAACAUCAAAUCGUACCCCAAACCGACACAGGUGGUCAGGUAGAGAAUACCAAGGCGCUUGAGAGAACUCGGGUGAAGGAACUAGGCAAAAUGGUGCCGUAACUUCGGGAGAAGGCACGCUGAUAUGUAGGUGAAGUCCCUCGCGGAUGGAGCUGAAAUCAGUCGAAGAUACCAGCUGGCUGCAACUGUUUAUUAAAAACACAGCACUGUGCAAACACGAAAGUGGACGUAUACGGUGUGACGCCUGCCCGGUGCCGGAAGGUUAAUUGAUGGGGUCAGCGCAAGCGAAGCUCUUGAUCGAAGCCCCGGUAAACGGCGGCCGUAACUAUAACGGUCCUAAGGUAGCGAAAUUCCUUGUCGGGUAAGUUCCGACCUGCACGAAUGGCGUAAUGAUGGCCAGGCUGUCUCCACCCGAGACUCAGUGAAAUUGAACUCGCUGUGAAGAUGCAGUGUACCCGCGGCAAGACGGAAAGACCCCGUGAACCUUUACUAUAGCUUGACACUGAACAUUGAGCCUUGAUGUGUAGGAUAGGUGGGAGGCUUUGAAGUGUGGACGCCAGUCUGCAUGGAGCCGACCUUGAAAUACCACCCUUUAAUGUUUGAUGUUCUAAC
rnacentral:rRNA from 1 species